rnacentral:rRNA from 1 species
AGUGAACGCUGGCGGUCGGCCUAACACAUGCAAGUCGAACGGCAGCACAGUAAGAGCUUGCUCUUACGGGUGGCGAGUGGCGGACGGGUGAGGAAUACAUCGGAAUCUACUUUUUCGUGGGGGAUAACGUAGGGAAACUUACGCUAAUACCGCAUACGACCUACGGGUGAAAGCAGGGGAUCUUCGGACCUUGCGCGAUUGAAUGAGCCGAUGUCGGAUUAGCUAGUUGGCGGGGUAAAGGCCCACCAAGGCGACGAUCCGUAGCUGGUCUGAGAGGAUGAUCAGCCACACUGGAACUGAGACACGGUCCAGACCCCUACGGGAGGCAGCAGUGGGGAAUAUUGGACAAUGGGCGCAAGCCUGAUCCAGCCAUACCGCGUGGGUGAAGAAGGCCUUCGGGUUGUAAAGCCCUUUUGUUGGGAAAGAAAAGCAGCAGGUUAAUACCCCGCUGUUCUGACGGUACCCAAAGAAUAAGCACCGGCUAACUUCGUG